rnacentral:rRNA from 1 species
UACGGAGGGUGCGAGCGUUGUCCGGAAUCACUGGGCGUAAAGGGCGCGUAGGCGGCGCGGGGAGUCAACGGUGAAAGCUCGGCGCUCAACGCCGAGUCGGCCGUCGAUACUCCCGUGCUUGAGCACUGUAGAGGCAGGUGGAAUUCCGGGUGUAGCGGUGGAAUGCGUAGAGAUCCGGAAGAACACCGGUGGCGAAGGCGGCCUGCUGGGCAGUAGCUGACGCUGAGGCGCGACAGCGUGGGGGGGCAAACAGG